UCUGGCGACCGGCGCACGGGUGAGUAACACGUAUCCAACCUGCCCUUUACUCGGGGAUAGCCUUUCGAAAGAAAGAUUAAUACCCGAUAGCAUAAUGAUUCCGCAUGGUUUCAUUAUUAAAGGAUUCCGGUAAAGGAUGGGGAUGCGUUCCAUUAGGUUGUUGGUGAGGUAACGGCUCACCAAGCCUUCGAUGGAUAGGGGUUCUGAGAGGAAGGUCUCCCACAUUGGAACUGAGACACGGUCCAA
rnacentral:rRNA from 1 species